GAAAACCUCAUUUCAAGCUGAAAACUGCUUGGGAUUUCAAUGUUGACAAUGAAAAUAUUGUUUGUGGAAUUGCUGAAUGCUCAGGUAAUCUCUAUAAAGCAACAGCCUACUCGAGCAACUAGUAGACCAAGAGUAAAGGAGUAAUACAGUGACAUCAUUCUUCACUUAUUACAGCCUUUUCCAUCUAUGUACGUACUGAAAAAGAAGAAAAGAACUGUGAGAUGUAGUUGUUUCUGUCAUCUCCCAACCUGAUUUCAGAACACACACAGGUUUCCUUUUUCUCAUUUAUAAUUUGGUGGUAUUCAAAAGGCAUAAUAUCUCAGGCAGUGCAGAAGAUGUGAUCGAAGGAUUAUUUCUACUCAGCCUUUAUGUUCAUGUAAUGAAAGGUGUGAAGCACCACCAGAGAAUGAAGGAAAAGCUUCCUUGGACAUUAAUAGGUUGACUGCUAUGUCGCUGAACUUGGUGCAUGAAAGGUCAGCCUUUGAAACGCUAAAUAAGUUGAAGAAGAUUAUAAAGUAUAUAUGGAAAAGUAUGCAUCCUACAGUAGCAUUUGUAUUAAAGGACCGCUUUGUGGGAGGCUUUCUGUUUCAGCAGCUCCCUGAAGUGAGCACCAUGACUGCGAAUCUCAAAGUGAAGAAACACAACUCUUCAGAAGGGAACAGUUAUUCUUAGCUUUGUUUUACUGAUGUUUUUCUUCCUUUUUCUCCUUUUUAAAAAGAAAACAGAGAGCCUGCCAAAAUUUGGACUCUUUGAUGUGCUUUGGAAAGAAAAACAAUGCUAUCUAUCCAAGUAAUCUGAAAGGAACAAAAAUAUGUCAUUCUAAGGCACUAAUUUCUUGAAAGGAACAAUCAAUAUAUAUCACAAUUAAGGCUGGUCACAAAUUUUUUUGAAUAUUUUGCUGGAAAAUUUUGACUAAGAUAUUUUCAGAGAAAUUUGCCUGUUUAAACGAAACUUCAUUUUGGGAAAAGAUUCUCUGAUAAAAGGCAGCAGAGGGAAAGAAACUGAUAUUUGCUGUAUAUAUUUG
rnacentral:lncRNA from 1 species